rnacentral:lncRNA from 1 species
CCCGAAGCUCACAGCCGCCGAACGAAGCGACGCGUCUGCGUUACGGGACACCGCCGCCGCAACCAACUUAGCAUAUUCCACGAAUGGCAGCGCAACUGCGGACGCAUGCCGUGCCUCCACUUCUACUGAUGCUGCUGCUGCAGCGUACGUGGCAACCUCUUCGGUCGUCGAGGUACCGGAAAGUGCUGGCAACAUAUGGACCACUUGUGUUGUGGAUACGGCAGAGCUCCUCUCGGCGGCAGAUGCAGGCGACACAUAUGAAAUUGUUGGUCUUGACGUGAGCAGAGAGUU